CCCGGCGCGCGAUCGCUCCGCCGAUAUUCACGGGAUUAUAAUCAAAAAUUCCAAACUUGUAAUACCCAAUUUCGUUUCGUUUCGUUUUUUUUUUUUUUUUCGCCUCCCCGAAUCGUUUCAAUGGAAAUCUCUUCAGAUCGCGUCGUCCCGCCCCGGGCUCGGUAUACGCUGCAGCGGCGCGCGCAUAAAUAAUAAUAAUAAUAAUAAUAACAUUAUAAUACGUACCCGGGCGACAGUACAAUGAACGCGUCGUGUCCGUCUUCGUGCUUUUAUUCGUGUGCGCGGAUACUCGCGCGCAUUGUCGCAC